rnacentral:tRNA from 1 species
UCGGCCGUGGUGAAAUAGGCAUCACCUUCGGUUUUGGUCCGAAAGUUCCGGGUUCGAACCCUGGCGGCCGAGC